AGUAACGCGUAGGAACCUGUCGCGCAGUGGGGGAUAACAGACGGAAACGUCUGCUAAUACCGCAUGUGGUCAGUAGUGAAGAAAGCAGCAAUGCGCUGUGCGAGGGGCCUGCGUCCGAUUAGCUGGUUGGUGGGGUAAAGGCCUACCAAGGCAUCGAUCGGUAGCUGGUCUGAGAGGAUGGUCAGCCACACUGGGACUGAGACACGGCCCAG
rnacentral:rRNA from 1 species